CAUCUUUUCUUGUUAGUUUUUGAAGUAUGGCCUGCCCACUGACUUAGAGUUGAAGGGCCGCGGUAUUUUGACCGUGCAAAGGUAGCAUAAUCAUUAGUUCUUUAAUUGUGAUCUGGUAUGAAUGGCUUGACGAGACAUAAGCUGUCUUAGGGGUAUUGGUUUAUUGAAUUUGGUUUUUGAGUUAAAAUUCUUAAAUGUUUUUAUGGGACGAGAAGACCCUAUAGAGUUUGACAAUUUUCCUAUUUGUUCGUUGUUUGUUUUAUUUACAUUGAGUGGGAGUUAGUUGUUUUGUUGGGGUGAUGGGAGGAAUAUUGUUUAACUCCUCUUUAUUUUUAUAUAUUUAUGUAUAUAUUUUUGAUCCAUUUAUUUUGAUUAUAAGAUUAAAUUACCUUA
rnacentral:rRNA from 1 species